rnacentral:misc_RNA from 1 species
CGCACAUUGCGCUCCUCAGUAUUCUGGGGAGCAUGCCUGUUCGAGCGUCAUUUCAACCCUCAAGCCCUCGUCGCUUGGUGAUGGGGCCCGUCGUGGCGGGCCCUCAAACAUUUUGGCAGAGCUGGUCAGCAGUCUGAGCGUAGUAAAUCAACCUCGCUUCUGAAGGCUUCCGGUCCCUCGCCGUAAAAAACCCCCCAUACCAAUUGUUUGACCUCGGAUCAGGUAGGAAUACCCGCUGAACUUAA